AUGGCAUUUGUCUCUCAAAUUGAACCCUCCAAAGUUGAUGAAGCCUUAGGCGAUGACCAAUGUAUUAUUUCUAUGCAAGAAGAGUUAAAUCAAUUUGAAAAGAAUCAAGUUUGGGAACUUGUCCCUAGGCCAAGCAACAAACACAUCAUUGGAACAAGAUGGGUAUUUAAGAAAAAACUUGACGGAAAUGGUAUAAUUGUUCUGAACAAAGCAAGAUUGGUAGCACAAGGCUACACUCUAGAAGAAGGAAUAGACUUUGAAGAAACUUUUGCUCCGGUUGCAAGGUUAGAAGCUAUUCGUCUUUUACUUGCCUAUGCUUGUUCAUUAAAUUUUCAGCUUUUCCAAAUGGAUGUCAAAAGCGCAUUCUUGAAUCGAUAUAUCAAUGAAGAAGUCUAUGUUAAGCAACCCCGGGGGUUCGAAGAUUUCAAGAAUCCAUCUCAUGUUUUUAAAUUUCGAAAAGCUCUAUAUGGUUUGAAACAAGCACCAAGGGCAUGGUACGAUCGACUAAGUAAUUUCCUAUGCCAAAAAGGUUUUGAAAAGGGUAAAGUUGACAAGACAUUGUUUAUCAAGAAAAUCAAAGGUGACACUUUUCUAGUUCAAGUCUAUGUUGACGAUAUCAUUUUCGGCACUUCAAACAAAGAAAUGUGUGAAGAAUUUUCAGCAAUGAUGCAAGGAGAAUUUGAGAUGUCCAUGAUG